rnacentral:lncRNA from 1 species
AUUAGAUGAAUGCAUCCCUUAGUGCAGUUUCAGUCUUAGAGAUUACCUGUAAACUGGUAGCUACACCUGGAGGCUUGAUCAGAUUGAGGCUUCUUCCUUUUUUUAGUAGUUGACAUUUCAUAGAACUUACAUAAAAAUCCUAAUUUUUUGCUUCCUUGAAUAUGUUGCCGAUCUGGCAUUCCCACCUGCAAUGAUUAUCCCAAGGCUGGACAGUGAGCACCCCCACUCCCCAUUUCCCACUGCUAGUUGGGUGGGAUGGGAAUUCUGUAGGGCCCAGUUCACACCACUUAGGUUAUCUGCCAGGCUCCCACAGGCAGCCACAUUAGUUGACACCCCAGUUCUAAACAAUGCCUCUUCAGAGGCUGUGGUGGACGUCAACAGGACCUCACACACAAGAGGCCUUUCAGGAAUGUGGCGGAGAUGAGAGAAAAUGAUAUGGAAGAGACUUCCUUAAAAUGCUUAAAGGGAAAGGGAUAAGCAGCCACAGGAGGGGAGUCCUCCUGAUAGAAUUUGGUGAGAGCCCCGGAUGGGGAAAAGAAAACCAUCAAUUAACAGAGCUGUAAGCACAGGAGGUAGGAGUUAUGAAUUCCUAAUCUGGGUGGGAAACAAAGAAAGCAAGUGGGCUUAAGAGACAAUGCUUUGGUCUUUUUAUAUGAUAUUAUGAGGAUCCUAAAGCCCCAUAGAAAGAGGAGGCGGCCAUCAAUGUAGAACUGUCCAGUAGUGUUAGUCAGAAAGCAAAAGCAGGCAGUACCAGGAAAACAGAAAUUGCAUAGGCAGUAAAUGACAUG